CGCACAUUGCGCCCCUUGGUAUUCCGGGGGGCAUGCCCGUUCGAGCGUCAUUUCACCAAUCAAGCCCGGCUUGGUAUUGGGUCACGGGGGCGACCCGGACCCCAAAGUCUUUCGGCUGGAAAAUCCUUGAUCGCAGCGUCGUGGUUAAUCAAAUUCGCUGGCGAGAUGGGCGUUCCGUGCCGUUAAAUGUUAAUCAAAGGUUGACCUCGGAUCGGGCAGGGAUACCCGCUGAACUUAA
rnacentral:misc_RNA from 1 species